rnacentral:rRNA from 1 species
AGUGGCGGACGGGUGAGUAACGCGUGAGAAUCUGCCCUCAGGAGGGGGAUAACGGCUGGAAACGGCCGCUAAUACCCCAUAUGCCGCGAGGUGAAACGAGUUUUCGCCUGAGGAUGAGCUCGCGUCUGAUUAGCUAGUUGGUGGGGUAAGAGCCUACCAAGGCAUCGAUCAGUAGCUGGUCUGAGAGGAUGAUCAGCCACACUGGGACUGAGACACGGUCCAGACUCCUACGGGAGGCAGCAGUGGGGAAUUUUCCGCAAUGGGCGCAAGCCUGACGGAGCAACGCCGCGUGAGGGAUGAAGGCCUCUGGGCUGUAAACCUCUUUUCUCAAGGAAGAAGAAUUGACGGUACUUGAGGAAUAAGCCACGGCUAAUUCCGUGCCAGCAGCCGCGGUAAUACGGGAGUGGCAAGCGUUAUCCGGAAUUAUUGGGCGUAAAGCGUCCGCAGGCGGUCUUGAAAGUCUGUUGUUAAAGCGUGGAGCUCAACUCCAUUUCAGCAGUGGAAACUAGAAGACUAGUGUGUGGUAGGGGCAGAGGGAAUUCCCGGUGUAGCGGUGAAAUGCGUAGAUAUCGGGAAGAACACCAGUGGCGAAGGCGCUCUGCUGGGCCAUAACUGACGCUCAUGGACGAAAGCCAGGGGAGCGAAAGGGAUUAGAUACCCCUGUAGUCCUGGCCGUAAACGAAGAACACUAGGUGUCGGGGGAAUCGACCCCCUCGGUGUCGUAGCUAACGCGUUAAGUGUUCCGCCUGGGGAGUACGCACGCAAGUGUGAAACUCAAAGGAAUUGACGGGGGCCCGCACAAGCGGUGGAGUAUGUGGUUUAAUUCGAUGCAACGCGAAGAACCUUACCAGGGUUUGACAUCCUGCGAAUCUUUUGGAAACAGAAGAGUGCCUUCGGGAGCGCAGAGACAGGUGGUGCAUGGCUGUCGUCAGCUCGUGUCGUGAGAUGUUGGGUUAAGUCCCGCAACGAGCGCAACCCACGUCUUUAGUUGCCAGCAUUCAGUUGGGCACUCUAGAGAGACCGCCGGUGAUAAACCGGAGGAAGGUGUGGAUGACGUCAAGUCAUCAUGCCCCUUACAUCCUGGGCUACACACGUACUACAAUGCUACGGACAGAGGGCAGCAAACUCGCGAGAGCUAGCAAAUCCCAUAAACCGUGGCUCAGUUCAGAUGGUAGGCUGCAACUCGCCUACGUGAAGGAGGAAUCGCUAGUAAUCGCAGGUCAGCAUACUGCGGUGAAUACGUUCCCGGGCCUUGUACACACCGCCCGUCACACCAUGGAAGUUGGCCAUGCCCGAAGUCGUUACUCCAACCCUUGUGGAGGAGGACGCCGAAGGUGGGGCUGAUGACUGGGGUGAAGUCGUAACAAGGUA